rnacentral:lncRNA from 1 species
GAGCGUGCGCAAGAAACUUGGUCCCACUGACCGCCCCACCCCUGCCCACUAAAGAAUUACAGGGCCCGCAGUUUUGCACAUGCGCGUUACUGGAUCGUGAAGCUAGCCGCCCAGAGAAGGAUGGGUAACCAACCAUCUUCAGUCUGUAUGUCUCUCCAAUGCAUCCUGAAUCACUGGGAUUCCUUUGAAAAGAGAAAAUCAACCUUCUUCUUCCUGUUUCCUCCUCUGUCCUCUCUUCAUGGAUGAAUAAUCAUGUCUCCAUACCACAGGACAUUUCCCUCUGUGAAAAGUUUAAUUUCUGCAUUAAACCACUUGGCUUAAAAAAAAAUGAACUGGGAAGACAUUAUAACUCACAUUCCCCUCUGUGAAAAGUUUAAUUUCCAUAAACCUUAAAUCACUUGACUUAAAAAAAAAAUGAACUGGGAAAACUCUAACUGAGCAAUCUCUUGAGGAAGGACAAUGUUUACAGUAUGCAAAUAACCUAUUUGUCUGCUCCCCCUUUACGGAACUCCAGGGUCAAAGGGCUUCAUAGCUCGGGGGAAGGGAACCCAGAAGCCUGACAUGCUGGCAAACGAGUAAAAGUUUUUUACCCAUCAGACUUCUGGCUUUUCUCUCUCUCUGUGCAAACUGUUUGAAUGAAUGAUAAAAAUCACUGUUUAUAUACUCUGAAACGUUGUGAUUAAUGGAAAAAGGAUUUGUGAGGUGAGUCUUAAGCUAUAGAGAAUCUGUGAUACUUUGUGUUAAGAAUUUCUCUUUCUGUAUCUUUCUAUCAGAAAGAGGGGUACCUUAGGAUAAAAUGUGGGUCUAGGCCCAAAUGUCCAACAAUGAUAGACUGGGUUAAGAAAAUGUGGC